AUGCUCACCCCGACGACGAUGUGCGUCCCGUACCUCUCGAUGAAACUGCUCACAGAUUCACAGAGUGGGAGUGGGGUUAGUUUUCAUGCAGUUUAUCAGUGUGGAGAUCAGCUACAGUCCACUCUGGCAGAUCAGUCCAAGAUGUUGCAAGGCUUGAUGGCACGUGUUGAGAGUUUUCUGGAGCGGGCGGAGGCUACUCUGACCAAGCUCUCCCUCGUGUCGGCUUUGUUGCCGACUGCUCCGACGCCGCGACCUCCUGUUGUUUCUGGUGUUGGUUCCGUGGGAGACGAGGGGACGGAGCUCUUCGGUUGUUUCUCCCCUCGUGCUGGGGCCAGUUCUUCGCCGGUGUUUGUCUUGCCCCUUGUGUCGGCUACUGUUGAGGAUAAGGCCAUCGUCGAGGUCGUCACCCCUGUGCUGCAGGUCAUGCCCGAGCUUCAACAACUAUGUGUGAGACCAGCUUCGCCUCCGUCUGUGGAGCAUAUGGAGGUCGACGCGCCAGCGACCUCGUGUGAGGGACAUGAUUCUCGUUUGUCAUGUGAGCAACUGGAGGCGCCUGAGUCCACUGUGUCGGUGGCACCUGAGUCCAUUGUGUCAGUGGUACCCGUGGCUGAUGAUGGUGAGGCGGUCAGUAUGUUGGCGCCUGAUCCUUCAGCGCCCAGCCAGCCGCUCGCCUCUGUGGAUCGUGGAGGUUCCGACGUUGCGGUUACCGGCUCGCAUGUGGCUGUGAGGCACGAGGCGUCUGUGCGCGACAAGGUUGAUGAAAUUCUCUUCGAGAUUGAGAUUCACAGUUUGCUCAAACGUUUGAAGAGGGCUAGCCCUGGAUCUGGCAAGACGAUUGUGGAGGAGGCUCUCAGGAGCAAUGCAAAGAAGAGUAGCGCCACAGGAAAGGUGUCCGCAGCAGCUUGA
rnacentral:rRNA from 1 species